rnacentral:lncRNA from 1 species
CCUUCAUUUCAUUGUUUUACGUUUUCGUUUUUAUUCUGUAGUUAGUUAAAAUUUAUAUCAAUUAUAUGGUUAUUUUUUUUUUUAUAAAUUUACUCUUUGCAAAAAUAUGAAUUUUAUUCUGAAUACUAAGGAUUUUCUUAUACCAGGCAGAUAAACUUAGUCGUAUUUCAGUUUGGCACAACUUUUUGGAAUUUUGGCUUCAAUAACUAUUAGCUUGUCGUAAUGUUCUAUUGUAUUGUUUAUUUGUGUGUUUCUUUGUCCUGUAUGUUCUUCCAUUUAUUUCUGUUGUAGUCCUGUCAUGUAAUGAUGUCGUUUUAGUGUUAUAUAUACCAUUGCCAUUAAAGCGGGAGGUAUGGUUAGCCACAAAAUCAGGUUCAACCUACCAAUUUUUUGUUUAAAUGUCCUGUACCAAGUCCGGAAAAUGGCUAUUGUUGUCUUAGUUCGUUUCUGUGUGUGUUGCAUUUUAGUGUUUCUGGUAUUUUGUUAUUCUCCUCUUAUAUUUGAUGUGUUUCCCUCAGAUUUAGUUUGUAACCCGGAUUUGGUUUUUUUUUUCUCAAUCGAUUUAUGAAUUUCGAAUAGCGGUACACUAUACUGCUGUCUUUAUUUAUGUCUACCGGUCAACGAAAGAUAACUUAAAAAGGUCCGACCUUUUGGUUAUACUAUGUUUUGCAGGCCCGUAGCCAGGAAUUUCCAAGGAAGGGGGAGGGUAUUUGGACUCGAGAACUCAACUUUAACAGUCACAAUUUAAACAGAAGGUUGACUUUAACUGUGCUUAUUUUUUUAAAGGGGGUCCCCUGGCUACGGGUUUGUUUUGAAUAUAAUUAAACAAUCACAUACUGCAUUACAAAAUGUUCAAUCGGUUCAAGUGUAGAUGAAGAAAAGGAAAAUUACGGGGCAGUGCAUAGCCUUAAUUCCCACUAGAUAUGAAAUGAAUAAGUAAGUAUUUGGAAGAAGUAGCAACUUAUAGAUAGUUAUAGAUCCUUACAUAAACUUUGAGCGUACCCGUGGAAACCCCUCGGUGAUAACUCUAACACACAUAUAUAGUACGGUAAAGCUAUCUAUUCUAAGCUAUGCAUUUAACUGAAAACAACUCCGAAAACAUUUACUUUUAAAGAC